AUUGAACGCUGGCGGCAUGCUUUACACAUGCAAGUCGAACGGUAACAGGCCGCCAGGUGCUGACGAGUGGCGAACGGGUGAGUAAUGCAUCGGAACGUGCCCAGUCGUGGGGGAUAACUACUCGAAAGAGUAGCUAAUACCGCAUACGAUCUAUGGAUGAAAGCGGGGGACCGUAAGGCCUCGCGCGAUUGGAGCGGCCGAUGUCAGAUUAGGUAGUUGGUGGGGUAAAGGCUCACCAAGCCAACGAUCUGUAGCUGGUCUGAGAGGACGACCAGCCACACUGGGACGGAGACACGGCCCAGACUCCUACGGGAGGCAGCAGUGGGGAAUUUUGGACAAUGGGCGCAAGCCUGAUCCAGCAAUGCCGCGUGCAGGAAGAAGGCCUUCGGGUUGUAAACUGCUUUUGUACGGAACGAAACGGCUCUGGUUAAUACCCGGGGCUAAUGACGGUACCGUAAGAAUAAGCACCGGCUAACUACGUG
rnacentral:rRNA from 1 species